UCUGUAGUGACCGAAUUCUCAUAAGACUUUAUAACAGAAUUAUCCCCUUUCUUUUGCCUUGAUAGUUUUGAUAACUUAAAAAUGUAUCUAACAAAGCUCUUUUAUCCAAAACUGCUUUUACUUUUCCUGACUGUGACGAUUAUACUGCGAUUUCAGCAGUGUAACAAAAGCUCUGCAUGAAAAUAUAAAGACAGCCUCCUUAGAAUAAGCAUUUGGUGUUAUAUAAAAUUCCCAUGUUUCAAAUUGACCAUAACAUUUUACUCAACGGUUAAACAUCUGUCCCUGUUCUUUACUAACCAGCCCAGGAAACAGUCUCCUCACCAGUAAAAGCUCUGACAUGAAGGCUGUUUGCCCGUCUCCUCAGCCUUCAGACAGAACCAUCUCAGUUGGACAGGGGAGUGGGGAAGCGCCCCUCUUUCAAACCAAUGGCUUUGGACAGAGCAUUAAGAGAAUACCUUUGAACCGUAACAUUUACUGUUUUUAUAAAUACUAGGAUUUAAAGCCAGAGAAAAUAAAACUGGGCAGAGGAAGGGGAAAUUUUUAUGGAAAAGAGAAUGCAAAGUACAUUUAUGAUUCAUAAAAGUCUGGCUCAUCUUCAGUGGAACUCAAGUAGAACUGAGAUACAUGCCAGGUGCCGCUGUGUAUGUUGCCGUCUGUCUCAGCUGCCCUGCAGUCGUGCUCUGUCUUUCCCUGCCUGCUGAGCCAUCCCUCAGUCCCAACCCUCGUUACCCCUGAACAUCAAAGAAAAACCAGUGUAGAGCGUGGUGUCCAGAGGCAGUGCUUCUGCCUCUAACUCUGAUCCCAUGGUCUCCAUUAGAAACUUGUAAGGGUGGUGAUCCAGAUACCUCACUCAUGGAUAGAGAAACAGGUUUGUUUCCCCCCAGCUGUGAUCAUUCCCUACAGUACCCUUCACAAACAGAUAAGCGAGAAGGAUCACAAUUGACUAAAGUAGCGGCCAUUUAACAGCAAAAGAUGAAUCUCCAGUCUCAAUAGUUUAGGGUCUGAAAUAUUUCCCAAGCAGUUAAGGAAUAAUGAUGGUCACAAAUACUGCUCAGGGCCUUGGAAGUUUCUUGCUAACGACCAAGGACUUGAAGAUAAUGAUGCUAUCCCCUGCCAAAUCCUGGAGCCACAUCACUGAUGCUUUAUUGUCAACUAGAUCAGAAGAUUUUGGCAGAUCUAAUAAAGUCAGCCUGGA